CGGAGCUGAGUCCCCGCCUCCCGAGAGCGAGUCUGGAGUCACCGCCCAACCGCAGCGCUGAGUAGGCUCGGGAGGCCGUCGGAGCGCGGCAGCCAGGGACGCGCGCCAGUUCACACUGAAGCGAGUCCAAGACGUUCCCCGUUUGACCACCGUCACUCUCGGAGCCAGGAAGUGCUGACUGGCUUAGCCAGGUUCCCCGGACUAGCAGGUGGCACAGGCAGAAGUUGGAUCUCUGCUCCUGAAUCCCAGCCCCCUACCGCUCAUGCUAACCUUAAAGGAACUUUCCAGCAUGCUUAGGCACUGCACUGAGCUUCAGGCAUACUGAGGUGAACAUCCGUCCAGGAACCCAGCUCCAGACCAAAGAAAUGUGAGGGUUUUGCUUGCGGUGGGGGAGGGCAGAGAUAAAAGCAGCAAGUCCCACACCCAGUGCUCAAGUCCCAACAUAGGGAAGAGGAUGGUCCCAGCCAGUUCCUAGUACUCCCUUACCCACUUAUUGGGAGAAACUAGCUCAGGAGGGAGUCACCUGCCACAGUGGGCCCUGGGUAGAACCCCCUUACCCCAGCCCUCAGGGCUCUACCUGAUCACACGCAGGGCAACGUGGCCUCAGCAACUCAGCAUGAUGACGGCCACAGUAGAGACGCCCAUCGUGGUAGAAGUAGAUGAGGUGCAUCAGGACCUGGCCGCAGGCCUGACAGGCAAAGCAAGGCCAGUGCCAGCAGCGCUGCUCACCCUCAGGCGCUGCGAACACUCCAACUUCUCCUGGCUUCAGCUGCUGCCUGCACUGUCGGGCAGGGUUCGAGUUGGGCUGAGUCCUGACCACCCUAGUUCUUCCCUCACAACCCCACUACCUGUUCUCUUGUACCCCAGAGGCCUAAUCCCACUGCAGCCUCCACCACGACUCCCAAACUUGGUCCCCCUUUGUCCCUGACAUUUGGCAAAUCUGUGGAGCUCCAGGAGCUGCCCCUUUGGCAGAAGUGAGAGGACAAGGCGCGGGCGAAAGGGCAGGCUUGGAGUACAGGGGACUACACACCUUCUCACAGGUGUGUCCUUCAAGCUCAGGAGGUACCAGGUGGGCCACCCCCUGUCCCAGGGCCUUCUGCUUCCGCUGGGCACAGAAGAGCCGCAGUUCGGCCAGCUCCUCUUCCCCAAGGGCCAGGCAGUAGCGCUCCUGCAGAAAGAGGCCUCCACUAUGGUGGGGACAGCCCCACAGGCAAGGUGAAGGGUUGGCUGAGAAUCCUGAAAGGCUUAGCUGCUGGGUGGAGAGGUGGUGGAAGCUUAGGAGAAAACAGCAUAGACACAGAGGAGAGGGGUGCAGGAAAGCCUGCCUCAGUCUCCCCCACUGCCCCCAGGAGCCCUGAGAGCCCACAGCACUGACCCCAUCACCCUCUGCCUAGGUAUUUUCUCCACUGUUCUCUCAUGCUCCCAUCUUCCUCCCCAGUUGAACUGUACGCCUUUAGGGUGGGACACACAGGGCGUCAAUAAAUACGAAGCAACCAUGCUCUA